AUAAGCUAAAGGGGUGGGCCAGCUUCAUGCAGCGAGAUCUAGGCACAAGAUCUGUUUGUGCAAAAGUGCAAGGUCUGGCACUGUCCUUCAUGGCUUUGACCUCCAGCUUCCCACUUCACAAAGCAGGAUGCUGCAGCUGCCGGUGGAUUAAGUCUGAAAGUAGAUGUUGGACAAGACAAUGCCUUGUCCCCAGUUCACACGUGCAUACACGUGCGCACCCACAAAUGGAGGACCUUGAUUUACUGCUGUGGACAUCAUCACUGCCACCACCACCUUCUGUUUGCACAGAAAACAUCUUAGGACUGUGCCUGUGGGGUGGGAAACAGCGAGAGUGGCUCUGCCAAGGUAGGCUGAGAACCUUCGGUCUCAAGCUCCUGAAGGAUCCCAAAGUCAAAGGGCUUGUUGUGUGUACAAGUCUAGCAGGACUUUACAGCGGUCUCAUCAGAGGGCCCGUGGCCAUAGGAUGUUCUCCUUCAAGGAACUGCACUGAAGACUGUGCACAGCCAAAUGAGCAGGGUGGACAGGCACUCAGCAGACUCCCCAGGAUUUUUGCCUUCCCUUGGGAAGCCAGGAAAAUAACAAAGACCACCUCAGAAAGCAGCUCACUGGCUUCUAAAGGAUAUCACAGCUUCACGGAGGGACAGCUAUUCCCCCUUGGGUGCUAAAGUCCCUACUGGGCAACAUAGAGUUCCUGUAGCUGCUGUGCCUAAUAAAUGGAGGUGAAAGGCUUAACUCUGAGUUCCCCAGAUAAAGGCAGCAACAUAGCCCUUGAGAACCUGACAGAGAGGCACAGAAACAAAGCAAUCAAGAGGAACACACUUGAUCCAGGGGCUCCUGGUGUGGGCGGAGCAUGGCAUUCAUAACCGCUGGGGAUGCUAAUGUUCCUCCAGCAGGCAGUGCCGAAAAGUACCUCAGAGCGUGUUUCCUGGCUGCUGUUCCUGCUGCUCCGCUUUAUUUAAUUGGGAAGGGACGGAGAGUAAUUAAAGACAGUUUUCAGGAGCAGAAAACCCUGGCGUUGCUGGAUUUUGUGUGGCCCUCCUGUGUUAGGUAUCUCUCUAGAUUCAUCACAGUAGCCCUGCAUGUGUCUCUUCUGCCGAACUGACGCUGAGACUCAGAGAAAACCAGAGGCUCAAGGACAUGGUAGCAAGUACUGGCCAGGGUGGGAGACUGGCAAAGACUGGUCUGGGUCCAUACAUCAAGAGGGAGACUGUAGGGUCUGGAGAGAUGACUUAGCUGUUGAGAAUAAGGACCGCUCUUGCAGAGGACAGGAAUUCAGUUCCCAGCAUCCACAACAUGUGCGUCUCAACCAUCUGAUCUCCAGUUGCAGCGGGAUCUGACGUGUCUGACAUCAGAGGGGAUCUACACACACCCUUCCACAGAGACACACAUAUACACGUGUUUAAAAUAAUACAAAUAAAUCAUAUUUUAAAAGAAGC
rnacentral:lncRNA from 1 species